GAUGAACGCUGACAGAAUGCUUAACACAUGCAAGUCUUUGGCGAAGCUGUGCUUGCUCAGCCUAGCCAAGGCGGACGGGUGAGUAACGCGUCAGGAACUUGCCCUGCAGUCAGGGAUAACAGACGGAAACGACUGAUAAGACCUGGUAAAGUCAGGCGGACUCAUGUCCAGCCUGAUGAAAAGAGAUGCUGCAGGAGAGCCUUGCGUCCUAUUAGCUUGUUGGUGGUGUAACGGCCCACCAAGGCGAUGAUAGGUAGCCGGCCUGAGAGGGUGGACGGCCACAGGGGGACUGAGAUACGGCCCUUACUCCUACGGGAAGCAGCAGGGGGGAAUAUUGGACAAUGGGGGCAACCCUGAUCCAGCGAUGCUGUGUGCACGAUGAAGGUUUUCGGAUUGUAAAGUGCUUUCAGCAGGGAAGAAAAAAAGGACGGUACCUGCAGAAGAAGCGACGGCUAAAUACGU
rnacentral:rRNA from 1 species